rnacentral:rRNA from 1 species
CGCCCUUAGAGUUUGAUCCUGGCUCAGAUUGAACGCUGGCGGCAGGCUUAACACAUGCAAGUCGAACGGUAAAGUAGCUUGCUACUUACGAGUGGCGGACGGGUGAGUAACGUAUGGGAAUUUACCGAAUGGAGGGGGACAACAGUUGGAAACGGCUGCUAAUACCGCAUAACGUCGAGAGACCAAAGGGUUUCGACUUGCCAUUUGAUGAGCCCAUAUGAGAUUAGCUAGUUGGUGUGGUAAUGGCUCACCAAGGCGACGAUCUCUAGCUGGUUUGAGAGGAUGACCAGCCACACUGGGACUGAGACACGGCCCAGACUCCUACGGGAGGCAGCAGUGGGGAAUAUUGCACAAUGGGGGGAACCCUGAUGCAGCCAUGCCGCGUGUAUGAAGAAGGCCUUGGGGUUGUAAAGUACUUUCGUGGAGGAGGAAGGGUUUACGUAAUCGUGGACAUUGACGUUACUUCAGGAAGAAGCACCGGCUAACUCGUGCCAGCAGCCGCGGUAAUACGGAGGGUGCGAGCGUUAAUC